AAGACUAUAGACCUGCGGAGUACCUGCGGAAGGAUCAUUACUGAGUAACGUGGUCUUCAUGACCCGGUACCCGCCCUUUGUCAUAUGUUGGAAGAGGUCGUCUUUAGGGGCGGCCUCCGACCCCACUUCCCGGGAGGCGUUACGCCCCAUCGAAACUUGUGUUCUUUGGGGAUGUGACCGCCCGGGGUCUUUUUCAAACCCUUUGUGAGAAAUCUGAAGUCUGAAGCGAAAGCUUAAAAA
rnacentral:misc_RNA from 1 species